GGGAGGCGCCACGACUAGUAAAAGCUGCUAACUUACUGCUACUGAGGUGUAACCCCUCAGGCCACCC
rnacentral:tRNA from 1 species